rnacentral:misc_RNA from 1 species
GGAAUUUCACGCCGCUCUGAAUUUCGAGUUGUGAUUCGUAAUCUGCCUUCUACAGCUUCCUGGCAAGAUCUAAAGGAUCAUAUGAGGAAAGCUGGGGAUGUCUGUUUUGCUCAAGUUGUCCGAGAUAGUGAAGGAACCAAGGGUUUGGUCGACUACACCAAUUACGAGGAUAUGAAAUAUGCAAUUCGGAAACUUGAUGACA